rnacentral:tRNA from 1 species
GGUUAUGGCUCAGUGGUAGAGCACUUGCCUAGCAUGUGUGAGGCCCUGGGUUUGAGUCUCUGUACCA